GGCAGUCUGAUUGCUAUGCUGUUCACACAGCAGUCUUGCCGGAUGCAGACCCCCAAAGUUUGCUUGUGAUUGGCCAGCAGGGGAAAAGAGCAAGAGACCUGCAUCUGCAGUCUACUCACGUCACCUUACUCUGCGCAGCAACACGACAAGGGCUGACGUCAAAUGCAGCUCCUUCACCGAAGGCAAACAUUGCCAGUGAAUGAGAAUGAGAUGGAUGCAGGUGCCUUGGGAAUAAAAGAAGAAGGAAAGAGGCAAAUCCAGGGCUGCUUUGUGAUCCUGACCCCUUGUACUCUACCUGCCUGAUCCACCCUGAUGCCCUCUGUUUGGAGUCUUAGCACUUGGAGGCUGUUUGCUGCAGCUGAUGCCUCCACAUAUACAGCCUGGAGAUACAUGAGAAUACUGUGAAUAGUUCCACUUAGAUUCCAUGGAUCUGGCUUUGGACUGCAACAGUUUUGCACUCAAGUCUCCAUCAGUGAACAUCUAAUCAUUUCAACAUAACAAACUUCAAACUAGAAUGAAUCUAUAAAUUAUACAGUUACAAAAAGGAAAUGAUUUAUAAUCACACUCUCUGGUGUCACCCAGAUGAGGAUGGGUUUCCUUUUGAGUCUGGUUCCUCUUAAGGUUUCUUCCUCAUAUCUUCUUAGGGAGUUUUUCCUCGGCACCGUCACCUCUGGCUUGCUCAUAGGGAUAUAUUAAAAAUAAUUUAUACCCUAUAUUUAUAUAUUUACAGCCUAUACAUUGUUAAAGGUGCUAUGCAUAAAAUUUCAUUGAAUCGAGUUAAGCGGCAUUGUAGGUCAUUACAAAAUAAAUCUUAGAAGAAAUUAAAUCUAAGUACAUAUUAUAAUCCUGUUUUUUUUAUACAGAUUAAUAUCCAAAUCAUUCACUGUGGAUUUUUCCUUUUACCAUGGAUCUAUUUUCUCUUAUUUAAAAUUAUUUAAAUAAACAUUUAAAACUAGUCAUCUCUGCAUGCCAAAAAGUUUUUGCAUACAGUUGUUUGCUGUGCAUUUCAAACAAUAAAGAAGCUUU